UACGUAGGGGGCAAGCGUUGUCCGGAAUUAUUGGGCGUAAAGCGCGCGCAGGCGGUUUAUUAAGUUCGGUGUUUAAGCCCAGGGCUCAACCCUGGUACGCACUGGAAACUGGUAGACUGGAGUGUAGGAGAGGAAAGUGGAAUUCCACGUGUAGCGGUGAAAUGCGUAGAGAUGUGGAGGAACACCAGUGGCGAAGGCGACUUUCUGGCCUAUAACUGACGCUGAGGCGCGAAAGCGUGGGGAGCAAACAGG
rnacentral:rRNA from 1 species